rnacentral:lncRNA from 10 species
UAAGGGGAAAACCUCCUAAGUUACCUUGGGCAGGUGCCUACAUUUGGUACUCCUGGACAGCUCAGCCAUCUGCCAAGAAACAAUUCUAUAUAGAUGCCUGACCUGCUCAGUUCAGAAGGAGUUUUCUUCUGACUGCUGCUAAAUAAGCCGACUGAAUGAUACAUUUAUUUGUUAAUGGAUACUCUUUUUUGGCUCUCAAUUUAAAAACAUUUUUUAAUGGGCAAUUGAAAAAUAUACAGAUGAAGAGGCCAUGGUCUAAUGAGAAGCCAUGGAGUCAUCACCCAGCUUCAGCAGCUAUAAACUCAGGAUCAGUCUUGUUUCACCUAGAGCUACAGUAGAGAAACAAAGUGUUUGGAAAACUGGAGAAUCAACAAUCUUGCGGUAUGGCACUUUGAGGUGAAAUAUGGCUCUAUUUAAUGUCACUGGUUUCUUGAAGCUCUGAGUUUUCUGGGACCACAAGUUUUACUUGAAGACCUUCUCCGAUCAAACAACUCUGCCGCUGCAGCUUGAAAACAACCACAGACAACACACACACAAAUCCAGCGUGGCUGUGUUCCGACGCAAUUUGACAAAAACAGGCACUGGCCAGACUUGGCCCAUGGACUGCAGUUUGCCAGCCUCUGAACUUAGAGGAAAAAAAUUGGAAGAAUGGAGUGAACCUUGAGCACAGGGAGGAGCAGGCACUGAAGCUGUCUGUGUGCUCUUUUCCUGUCUUGAUGGAGAACAAGACAUUUGUAUGCUUUCACAAAACAAAGACAAGUGUAACUGUGAGUUCAAAGAUUACAUCAUUGAUUUCAGUAGUGUUGAUACUUUAAGCAUUUGCUAUGUUUCCUCUGAGCUAUUGGGACAUUACACUGAGAUGCAGUCGGUGGUAUGGGGAGGUGCUCAGGGGUUCUCCUCUCUGCCCUCACUGCUUGGUGCUUACAGACAGCUACUGAAGCAGUGCCUUUCAUGCUGGGGAGCCUGACUAUUUGCAGGUUGUUAAAUCAAUUUAAUGGGUCGUGGUCUGCAUUUGAAAGAAUAGAACUGGCUCAACUUCCUUGGGCUAGAAUGGAAAAUCACAAGGUACAUCCUUUAUAGUAUUUUGUGAAUUUUUGUUGUACACUUGAACAUAUAUAAACAUAUAUGGGAUGCAUACAUAAUAAAGAACUAUUAGGGGAAAAUCAAGCUGUUUUUUGUAAAGUUAAAACUUUGGAAAGAGUAUAGUCGAGUCACAAACUUUUCUCUGUUAAGUUAUACCUAGAUGUGAUGAUUGUGAAAAAUUGGCAAACAAAAACUCUAGAAAAAGUUUGCAUUCAGAUUGUUUCCCAAUGGCUUCCUAAGUUACUGAAAGACAUCUCAACUAGAAUUUAGGAAUAGACACUUUCAGUGUUAU